rnacentral:rRNA from 1 species
CCUACGGGAGGCAGCAGUAAGGAAUAUUGGUCAAUGGGCGGAAGCCUGAACCAGCCAUGCCGCGUGCAGGAAGACGGCCCUAUGGGUUGUAAACUGCUUUUGUACCGGAAUAAACCCCCGAACGUGUUCGGGGCUGAAUGUACGGUAAGAAUAAGGAUCGGCUAACUCCGUGCCAGCAGCCGCGGUAAUACGGAGGAUCCGAGCGUUAUCCGGAUUUAUUGGGUUUAAAGGGUGCGUAGGCGGCCUGUUAAGUCAGGGGUGAAAGACGGUAGCUCAACUAUCGCAGUGCCCUUGAUACUGAUGGGCUUGAAUGUACUUGAGGUAGGCGGAAUGUGACAAGUAGCGGUGAAAUGCAUAGAUAUGUCACAGAACACCAAUUGCGAAGGCAGCUUACUAAGGUAUGAUUGACGCUGAGGCACGAAAGCGUGGGGAUCAAACAGGAUUAGAUACCCUGGUAGUCCACGCCCUAAACGAUGAAUACUCGAUGUUGGCGAUAUACGGCCAGCGUCUAAGCGAAAGCGUUAAGUAUUCCACCUGGGGAGUACGCCGCAAGGGUGAAACGUUCAAAGGAAUUGACGGCUUGAGGACGNGCGAGGACGACGACGAGGGAGGAGG